ACAAAUGAAUUUACUCAGCUUGUGUGGAUUCUCAUUCUCCAGAGACAGAACGACCAAACGUAGCAUGACCUGGUAGGAAGAACGUGAAACCUUGGAUCGGAGAGACCUGGAUUCCAGCCCUUGCUCUCCAACUUAAUAUUGAACAGUUUCUUCCAGCCUCCACACUAUCAGAUUAACCCUGAACU